AGCAAGCCAAAGCAUAUAUAAUCAAGACUUUGAUUCCUCACACAUCCUUAGGUUUAAGGAUUGAUUAAACUCGAUACAUCCACAAGUCAAUCGUAGUCUAGGCAUGAUGGGCCUUCCGGUCUAGAAACUUAACCUCAAUCCACCAAUGUAAGUGCCCAACAAGUCCGAAACCAGGAGCCCAUAUCCAUGGCACAAUCAUACUCAUAUGUGGCGUAGCGCAAAGGCAAACCGACUUGUCAUAAUGCUCGAUGGUGAAGACCUUCUAUCCCGACUCAUCCUGAGUCCCCUCACAUAAUAUGACCACGAACAAAGUAAUAACCACAAGUUUGUCCUACAACUCUACUAAGUGGUCAUGGUAUAACAGGGUAUUGAGAUCCAUGGCCCACAACUCUUCAUUGGUUAGUGGUUGUUGUAUUGCUCUCAAGUUUCCAAAGAUAAUCAACAGAAUCCCUCUCUUUUGAACUCAUGUUUAUGAAUGGUUGAGAUACUUCCAUGUAACCAUGGCACAAUCACAUGUUUGUCUAGGACACCCAUGGUCAUCGUGAUCUAUGACCAAGACCAUCGAUACCGUUGGAUACCAUCAAUAUCAUCAAUGGAUAAGUUUCACAUUAGUUUUCAAGGCACAACUCUAAUACUAGGUCCAUCAUAUCCCACAGCCAUGAUUGAUCAAACAAAAACAAAUCUAAACUGUUGAUUUUACAAAACAAUGCAUAUGAUAAUUUCAAAAUCAAUUGUUUAAUUAAAAUGAUUUAAAAAAUCAAUAUAGCCAACUAUGUUGAUGGUGUUGAGGGUUUGAUUCUAAUUAGGGCCGGACUCUCUCUAUUCUUUCGUAAGUAGUUUGUGUUGUAACACAAGUAAACAACUACUCUUGCCUAGGUAAGUAAUUGUGUUAUAUACAACCUACUCUUUCAAUUUAUAUAUGUAUCUCUCCAUACUCAGAAAAAUAAUGAGAAAAAAUCGGAAUUCUCCACUCACCUGUUCUCACAUGGUAUUAAAGCUUCUCUGGCGCCUGCAACAGCUGCUGCUAGCUAAUCUCUCUUCAUAUAAAUACUGCCAGAGACGUGAUGCCAAACCCAUUGUGAGUUGCAUCUGCUCCAGCAUCCCAUCAACGACGCUGGGCAACAGCACGUCGCCUACGCACCACCUUAAAAAAAUCUGAAACCCUAGCUCCCGCUCCUCUCUCGAAUCUAUCGUCGUUCCCGCAGCUUCUCCGGAAUCGAGCUCUAAUAAAGAAACCCUAGAUUCGCCACCCCGAGACGAAUCGACGCUUCCAUUGGAAAGCCUAGUUUUGGAAUCGAGCUGUGGAGAAGAAGAAGAAAUCCCUGGAUCUUAAAACCGACAGAGUAGGCCCCUGCUCCGCCUCCCGCCAUUAAAUCCGGUGGCAUCAGCGUCCCUUUUCCGUCAGCCAAAACCAGUGGCGUCGAUGACGAAGCCUCAACAGCGGAGCACCUCCACAUUUCCGGCGAGAUUUCCUUGCGCCGCGGCCGUCCGCGGGGAGAUACAGGAGCGGAAAGGGAGAGAGUGAAAAAGAAAACAGCGUUUUGGAUAGCGGUGUCAACGGCCGGGUUAGGGCCGGGUCCAGCUCCCUCCAACGCUAGCCCGCCUCAUUCAACACAAGCCUACUCUCGGCCAGGGCCCGAGACACGCCAAAAUAGUUCAGCCGGCAUAUUUAUACAGGGCUCAACGUGAGCCCCACCUGACCUAAAAGGCUUAUAUAUUAGUGAAUGCAAGCAAUUAACUAAAUUUCCUCUAAGACCCUAAAUCUUUUCAAGUCCGAGAGCAAGCAUAACAAGCGCUUAAAAAUGCAAGCUGAUGCCAAAGAGCUAAAUCCAACUUCACUUCUGAUGUCUAGUCAAUGUAAAUACAUGUCUAGUCAAUGAAAUACAUGCGAACGCGUCUACAUGUGCUGACUUAAUUGCAUCAUGUAUAAAGGUAUGUGAUUAUGCUACCGUAAAUUAUUCAUUGACUAUGACAAUAUUCUAAGGUAUAUGAAAAAUUGGACAGGUUAAGUCUCACGAUGUACUUAAUGUUCAA